UACGUAGGGUGCGAGCGUUAAUCGGAAUUACUGGGCGUAAAGCGUGCGUAGGUGGUUCGUUGUGUCUGUGGUGAAAGCCCCGGGCUUAACCUGGGAAUGGCUAUGGAAACUGGCGAGCUGGAGUCUGGCAGAGGGGGGUGGAAUUCCGCGUGUAGCAGUGAAAUGCGUAGAGAUGCGGAGGAACACCGAUGGCGAAGGCAGCCCCCUGGGCUAAGACUGACGCUGAGGCACGAAAGCGUGGGGAGCAAACAGG
rnacentral:rRNA from 1 species